CCUACGGGUGGCAGCAGUGGGGAAUAUUGCACAAUGGGGGAAACCCUGAUGCAGCGACGCCGCGUGGGGGAGGAAGUAUUUCGGUAUGUAAAGUCCUAUCAGCAGGGAAGAAAAUGACGGUAUCUGACUAAGAAGCCCCGGCUAACUACGUGCCAGCAGCCGCGGUAAUACGUAGGGUGCAAGCGUUAUCCGGAUUUACUGGGUGUAAAGGGAGCGUAGGCGGCUAAUCAAGUCAGAAGUGAAAACCUAGGGCUUAACGUUGGGACUGCUUUUGAAACUGAGUAGCUAGAGUGCAGGAGAGGUAAGCGGAAUUCCUAGUGUAGCGGUAAAAUGCGUAGAGAUUAGGAGGAACACCAGUGGCGAAGGCGGCUUACUAGAAUGUAACUGACGUUGAGGCUCGAAAGCGUGGGGAGCAAACAGGAUUAGAUACCCGUGUAGUC
rnacentral:rRNA from 1 species